AGUCGAACGGCAGCACGGACUUCGGUCUGGUGGCGAGUGGCGAACGGGUGAGUAAUGUAUCGGAACGUGCCUAGUAGCGGGGAUAACUACGCGAAAGCGUAGCUAAUACUGCAUACACCCUUCGGGGAAAGCGUGGGACUCUCUGGCCUCGCACUAUUAGAGCGGCCGAUAUCGGAUUAGCUAGUUGGUGGGCAACGGCUCACCAAGGCGACGAUCCGUAGCUGGUUUGAGAGGACGACCAGCCACACUGGGACUGGAGACACGCCCAGGACUCUACGGAGGCAGCAGUGGGGAAUUUUGGACAAUGGGGAAACCCUGAUCCGCACACCCGCGUGUGCGCAGAUGAAGGGCCUGGGUUGUAAAGACUUUUGGCAGGGCGAACGGCAUCGGGAUAAUACCCCGUGCAACUCGACGGUACCUGCAGAAUAAGCACCGGCUAACUACGUGCCAGCAGCCGCGGUAAUACGUAGGGUGCAAGCGUUAAUCGGAAUUACUGGCGUAAAGCGUGCGCAGGCGGUUCGGAAAGAAGAUGUGAAAUCCCAGAGCUUAAUCCUUUGGGAACUGCAUUUUUAACUACCGGAGCUAGAGUAAAGUCAGAGGGAGUGUGGAAUUCCGCGUAGCAGUGAAUGCGUGAUAUGGUAGAGGAAUACCGAUGGCGAAGGCGUAAAUUCUCCUGGGGAUAACACUGACGCUCAUGCACGAAAGGUGGAGCAAACAGGAUUAGAUACCCGGUAGUCCACGCCCUAAACGAUGUCAACUAGCUGUUAGCCUUCGGCCCGUAAAGCGCGCAGCUAACGCGUGAAGCUGACCGCCUGGGGAGCUGGUCGCAAGAUUAAAACUCAAAAAGGAAUUGACGGGGAAUCUCGCACAAGCGGUGGAUGAUGGUGAUUAAUUCGAUGCAACGCGAAAACCUUACCUACUCCUUGACAUGUCUGGAAUCCCGAAGAGAUUUGGGAGUGCCGCAAGAGAACUGGAACACAGGUGCGCUGAUGGCUGGUUAUCAGCUCGUGUCGUGAGAUGUUGGGUUAAGUCCCGCAACGAGCGCAACCCUUGUCAUUAGAAGUGCUACGAAAGGGCACUCUAAUGAGACUGCCGGUGACAAACUGGAGGAAGGUGGGGAUGACGUCAAGCUCAUGGCCCUUAUGGUGGGGCUUUCACACGUCAGUACAAUGAGUCAGACAGAGGGUCGCCAACCCGCGAGGGGGAGUCAAUCCCGGCAGAAACCGAUCGUAGUCCGGAUCGCAGUCUGCGUAACUCGACUGGUGCGAAGUCGAACUGCUAGUAACGGUGAUCAGCAUGCGUCGCGGUGAAUACGUUCCUGGCCUUGUACACACCUCGCCCGUCACACCAUGGGAGUGGGUUUUACCAGAAGUAGUUAGCCUAACCGUAAGGAGGGCGAUUACCACGGUAGGAUUCAUGACCGGGGUGAAGUCGUAACAAGGUAG
rnacentral:rRNA from 1 species